UGUGUUGUGUGUGUGUGUUUGUGUUUGUGUGUGUGUGUGUGUGUGUGUGUGUGUGUGUGUAUACAUACACACACACACACACACACACACACACACACACACACACAUAUAUAUAUAAUAUAUAUAUAUAUAUAUAUAUAUAUAUAUAUAUAUAUAUAUAUAUAUACAUAU
rnacentral:snoRNA from 1 species